AUUUGAUGCGACUGUCAUACAAGUGAGAGGUUUAGCUAGCUAUAAAACCAGGUUCAAUCCACCAUUUUCUACAUUAGAAAAUGCCUGUACCAAGUCAGGAAUAUGACAGUUGUUAUCCAUUCGUUUGAUGUGUUUGGACUUUUGAUUUUGCCUUUUGAUUUUGGAUUUUCCUUUUUGAAUUUUCCUCGGAGUUCAGUAUUUUUGUGUUUUUAC
rnacentral:lncRNA from 1 species